AAGAUUAAUUCAAUAAAUGUUCUAUUAAAGUAUAAUCAAGAAAAUACAAUCACAAACACAACAAUAUACAUAUCCAGAACAUAUAAAACCGAAAAACUAAAAAGAAAAAGAAAAAGAAAAAGAAAAGGGGAAUCAUGAAAAUUAAACAUCCGCACAAGCUCUCCAGAACAAUAACAUAGAGUAAUUAAUAAGCCAUCGUACAGCACAUCCAAGAAAUCAGAUAGUAGUAGUGUAGUAAGCAAGGAGAACCAUGGCGGUUAUAUAUGUGAUCAUCUCCGGUGGUUUAGUUUGAUGGGGGUGGGGAGAGGAAUGGAAUGCUUGGAAUAGUUGAUGGAAUAGUUGGGAUUGAAGGGAUUGUUGUGGGAAAUGAUGGCAGUGGGUUGGCUGGCAAUGGAGGUAGUGUUGUGGGAAGAGUGGGCAUUGCUGAUUUUGGCAAAGAUGGAAUUUGAGAGCUUGGCAUUGGAGGAAGAGCAGUUGGACGAGUAGGCAAUGGGUUAGAGGGCAGGGGUGGCAAGGUGGCCUUGGGCUGUGUUGGCAAUGAAGGCAGCGGAGGCAAUGUGGUCUUGGGCUGUGUUGGCAAUGAAGGCAACGGAGGCAAUGUCGUCUUGGGAAGAGUUGGCACCGAAGGCAACGGCGGCAAUGUGGUCUUCGGCAGAGAUGGGAUGGUAGGGACGGGUAGUGCUGGCGGUGGAGCUGCUGGCGUGUCCAAAAGGUGGCGAGCUGCUUGGCUCAUACGGACGCUUGAAAGUGAUAGCACUGCCACCGAAAACAGAAGGAAGAAAAUCUUGGGGAAAGCCAUGGUUGAACUUGUGACGAAAGUAAAGCUUUGAUGAGGAGUUGCUAGGUAAUCUCUUAAAAUGUUGUUUGUUGUUAUGAAGAGUAGAAUGUGCCUAGUAUUUAUAGGAAAAAUGGGGGGAAGUCUCUUAGUGCUUAAGUUUGAUGAGUUGUGGUUGGAGGAAGCGGGAAAAAGAAAAAGAAAUAGUUAGUUCACCUCCCUAAAGACAUUGGUUCUAAAUUCAAAACCAAUCCAACGCAAAAGAAUGCUUCAACUCAUGCACGCAAGCCAGUACUAAAAUGGUUAUACGCAAGCCAGUACUAAAAUGGUUAUUGGACUUGCAUUAAUUUAGUGAGUUGGUGACGAACCAAAUAGGUAGUGCUGUUAUUUCCUUGGUAAUGGAUUGGCUAUGUACCUGUGUUAACUUCUCUCAUCUUUUUAAUUUUUUUUUGGCCUGUUUGUUUUUUUAAGGGUUUAAGGGGAAGACUAUGAAAACUUAAGCCGACUCCACUUAGUGUGAUAAAGUUUGGUUGUUGUUGUUAUUGUUGGUUGUUUUUGCAAGGGGUUCCUUUUGUUUUAUUUUAUCUUUUUUCUUUUCAAAUAUUCAUCUAAUUACAAGAUAUGUUUGGAAGUUUAAAAGCUGAAAUUUAUGGGCAAGUCAAGGGCACACAAUUGUAGGUGAACAAUGGGGGAAACGUACGUGCUUCAGUUGCUUCUUAAAUAGCAUAUCAACCAUAUUCAACUUCAAGUUCAGUCAAAUGUUAUAGCUCUAUAGGAGAAGAUUAAUUGACUAAUUAAUUUAUUACCAAAUUCGCCUUUGGCAAAUAUCGAACUUAAGACCUCUCACUUACAAGUAAAGAGGAAUACUACUAGACCUAAUAUUUAAUGACUUAUUAUUUAUAAUUUAAAUUAUGAAAGAGUUCAACAUGUAUUUUGGAGAGUAAAUAGACAAAGAGCUGAAAACCAAAGGGUAAAUUACACAAAACUACCUCAACCAUUGGUUGAACUAGGGGUGGGUUCGGUUCAAAUCGGUUCGGUUCAAUUUUUUUUGGUUCGGUUUUUUCCGGUUCGGUUUCGGUUUUUUUUCAAAAAAUGAAAAAAAAAAUUUGAAAUCUUAAAUUUUAACAUAUUCAACACAAUCAUAACAUAAAUAUUCUGACUAGACUUAAAGAUAAUGAAAAUAAACAUUUAAAGUUCAACUAGAAUUAUAACAUAAAGGUUUUUUUUAAAUAUUUUGGGUUUAAAGUUUAACUGUAAAUAGAUUUCUUUUUAGACGAUGAUGAUGGAGUACGAUCUUAUUCAUUCAUUUCUUUCUCUCAAUCUCUCUCUCUCUCUCUCUCUAUAUAUAUAUACAUGUAUUCUUCACUAGCAAUAAGAUAAACAUUCUAUAUAUAAUAUUAUUUAUUAUUGUUAUUAGUCAAGGUAACAAUUUUUUGAUAUUUCUUUAUCUUUAUGGUCUGAAUUUUUUUUAUCUAUAUAUGUGGUUACAUAAUAUAAUUUCUACAUUCUGUGUUCAGCUUCUACCACCAGCAAAUUUUGAAGAGGUGUUUAUCAAUAUUUUUGAAUAUAUAUUGAUAUACUUUUCAAAAUUGUUAGGCCACAGAAGCUACUAUACUUGGCCAUAGGUGAGAAAGUUUGAAUUUUGUUUUUGAUCUUGUAGUGUUUAAUAAACUCAUGAGACUUUUAUUCGCUGUUUGCUUUCCCUAAUCAACUGCAGUGCAGUUGAGAUAUGUGUUCUUAUAUAUGAUAUAAACUAGAAAUAUUGCAUGUAAUGGUAUAAGUUCUAAUUUUUGUUGUAGAUGGAGAAGCUGAGAAGACAAUUUGAAUUGGAAAGCAAACAAGUCCUACCAAAGCAGCAGUCCGAAGUAUCAUAUUCUAAUAUAAUAAAAUCAAAUAAUUAAAUAAAUAAAAUUAAAAAAAUAUUAAUUUAAUUAUUUCGGUUCGGUUCGGUUUCUAGAUCACCAAAACCGAACCGAACCAAAAGAGUUCGGUUCGGUUUGGUUUGGUUUUUUCGUUCGGUUCGAUUUUUUCGGUUUUGCUUCGGUUCGGUUUUCGGUUUUUUUCGGUUAUCGGUUUUUUGAACCCACCCCUAGGUUGAACCACAAUUCAUACCUCAUGUUUUAAAAAUUACAAUGUCAUACCUCAUCUUACAAAUUUGUUGCAAUGUCAGACCUCUGUCAAAUGUUCUAUUAAUUUCUCUGUUAAAUGCUGACGUGGCUUGAUACAGGUCCACUUCCUAGUCCAGUUGGAUUCAAAAUUAAUUCAAUAUUCAAAAACUAAAACUAAAAUUAUUUAAAUUUUUUAUUAAAGAAGAGGGACCCACCCCUUGCAAUCCCAUCCCCUCACCCUUCUUCCUCCAUCCACCAUCUUGGCCGCGAGUCUAUCGAUUCACUCAUUGCUGCUCAAGUCUUCCCAAUCCAUCCAACCCAUCUUCCCUGUCCAUCGCUCCCUACCCAUCUUCUCCGGAGUUCCUCCUCUAGCGCUUGCCCCUCUUCUUCUUCCUCCUUCUCCCCCUCCUUUUUUUUUUGGCGAGUCAUACUGCAUAAAAGGCAGGAAGGCGUUAAAGCUUUACAAAUCUUACCACCAUUCUAUUGGGAAUUGGGGACACUUGGGAUUUCGUAGGAAAUAGAGAUACAUUGCUUUUGGUAUUCUAUUAUGCCAUAAAAAAGCUUAAAGCUUUACCACCCAUUUUAAUGUCCUCCAUCACUUGGAUUUGUUUACAAAUUACAAAAUUGUUUCCAAUCCUAAGUGUCACCCUCGCACACUAAGAAAUCCUAAUAAAAUACUCAAAACAAUUUAUCCCCAAUCCCUAAUGCUACACCCUCACCAUCCUCUCCAAAGACAAGAUUGUCGGCAUAAAAAACCCUGGAAUUCCCUGGUUCGAUCCACCAUGAAUGGCGGCCAAACAACGUGAACUCUAGGUGGGUGUUGUUCGUGGCACUGAGAGUAGUGGAACGACGGUGGUGGCGACGAUGCUUGUUGUCAGAGUUCGUGGUCAACUCACCUGGGAAGCUUGCCCAAGAAACGAUGGUAGAGGAGACGGGUGGGGAAGAAGAGUGAGGGGAUGGGUUUGUAGGGUAGGUCCUAUAUUUUUAAAUAAAAACAUUUAAAUAAUUUUAGUUUUAGUUUUUAAAUAUUUAAUUAAUUUUUAAUCCAACAAGACUAGGAAGUGGGCUUGUAAUGACUUGUUCCCAAUUUUUACGGUUUAUAUAAUUUUAAUAAAUGAAUUUACGAAAAUGCCCUUCGAGGCAAAGAUGUUGACUCUUGUUGACUGCUUUGUCAUUUCAUGUCAGACUCGUUUUCUUGGCAUAUCCUCAUAGUACUCAUCACUACGAACGCGUGGGCACAAAUGGAACGCAAUUUGGAGUUAUAACGAAGGAGAUAUUAACGUUUAAAGUCGGGGGCAUUUAGUAAAUUAAUUAUUUCUAGAGAGAUACAAAUCUUUUUAGCUUAAUCUGGAAAGCCACGUGUGUGGCCCAGAUUUAAAGGCAAAAAGGAUGAGCGGUGGAGAUGGAGUAUAAAGGAGAGAAAGGAGGGAGGAGCCGAACUAAUCAGAAAAGGAGAGACAAGAGGGUGACCAAUCAGAGAAGAGAGAAGGGAAAGGAGGGAAGGGAGAAGGAGAGAACCGGCCAAACCCAAUUUCACCACCCGACCCGCCAACUUGCCCCACUCAUAUCUCCUUCGUACGAACUCCGUUUUGGGUGAUCUUGGUGUCCAUGGAAAGCCCUUGAUGAGCCCUACAUUUAUGUAGUUUUAGAUUUCCAAAUUUCUUACCUAAAUUCACAAAUCGAAGCCACAAACCCACGAAGGCAUCCGGCGGUUUUAACCUUUUUUCGGUGACUCUGGCCAGUUUCACUGUCGAUUAUCACACCGAAAGACUCCUCUCAACCCUAGGAGCAAGGCCCAAGCUUUGGUGGUGGCAUUGGAAUUUGUUUUGGUGGUGAAUCAACAACUACCCAAUUUUAAGGGUUUCCAACGGGAUUCCUAUAAAAUUUGAAAUUUUUUAGAAAUAGUUGAAUUUUCCGGUGAGUAAGGGCAGCCGACAGCCACCUGCGGUGGUGCGUGGGCCGAGACGUCCCCUGACCUUCUUAGGUUAAAUUUGAAUACCCUGAUUCCAUUGGUGAAGUCCGAUUGACGAAUUUUUGUCAUUUGAACGUAGUUCCAUUAAGGUCCGCCGUUUGAUUAUUAUAGCAAUUGAUGAUCCAACCGUUGGAUCGUCACCAAACUUUGAUACGUUAUAAUACGUAAUAUUUGAGGAUAUUAGAAACUAUGGAUCGGGAAUCCGGCGUACGGAUCUUCUCGAAUAGGAUAUGUAAGUUAUAUGUUCUAUUGAUAAGAAUUAUAAGAUAUGAUUUGAUAAUUGUUCUAGGUGCCGAUUGUUCGUGACGCCUUGAUGUUUGAGCUAGGGAGUUGUAGUGCGGACUCCAGGUGAGUGGGCUUUUGGUUUUCUAUAUAUACAAUAUAUGUUUUCUAUUUUCCCAGAAAUUGUUUUAAAUGGAUUUACGUUUUUAAAUGUCAUGUCAUGCUUGCAUUUUUUAUUAUUAUAUGCAUUGGUAUGUAUAUGUAUAUUAUUGUAUGACGUUGCGGAGGCCAAGUAAGUUUCAGGUGAGUACUGUAUGAUGUUAGUGGUUGCAUUGGUUAGGGUUAUACGUAGAGGCAUGUAGAGCUUAUUAUCCUGCACCCCGGUGUUAGUGCUCCCUCCCAUGGCCAGGGCACAGUCCUUCAAGUGAAGUUCGCCUCCUGCACCGCACGCUCACCUUGAAGUUUGGUUCACAGCCCUAUCAUACAUACCACAUUAGGUGGUUCUGACUUGUAGGUGACUCGCGAUUAUUCGCACAGCCUUCACAUGAUCGUAGCACUUGAGCGUACUUAUUUACACCCAGCCUUGUCAUACAGACCACAAUAAGUGGUUCCGACUCUUGUGCAGGCAUAUUUGAUGAGGUAUAGGUUUAGCCGUACAUGUCACGUUAGGUGACUCCGGCUGGCAUAUCAUUUUGCAUUGCUUUAUUUCACCUGGCUUACUUAAUUUUUUAAUGAGAUACUUGACAUAACAUAAACUCGGUUUUCACUAUUCUCGAGCAUGAUUUCUAUAUACGUAUGUAUUAUUAUUUUCUGGGAAAUUAUACGGGUUUUACGGUGAGGGGUUAUAAUGCUUUCAAAAGGUUUUUAUUAAAAACUUUAUUUUCUGGCCCACUCACCCUUGUUUUUGCACCCCUCUAGGUUUUUAGCGGCUGAAAGUUCGUAUCGCCGAGGAUUCGUGAUGAAUCUCAGUAUAGAUGGCUACCUCUGAGGGUAUGAUCCUUACCCACACUACUGUACUUUACUUAUGCUCUGGCAUUGCGUGUGAAAUUGGCUCAUUCCCACUCAUAGCGUACUCUUGUCUUUAGGCACUUUUAGGUUUAAAUUUAUUCACAUUUUCCACAUCACUAUACUUUAUGGCUUCGUCACCUUCCAAGUGUCGGCCAACACAAUUCGAUUCGGAGUCCUAAUGGACAUUCCAGAUCGGGGUGUGUCAGGGCCAGCCUCAAGCCACUUCAGCAUUUAACUGAAAAACUAACAAAAAAACUGAUGGAGGUUUGACAUUGCAACAAAUUUGUAAGAUGAGGUAUGCCAUUGUAAUUUUAAAAAAUAUGGGGUAUGAAAUUGUGGUUCGACCAAUAGUUGAGGUAGUUUUGUGUAAUUUACCCAAAACCAAAAGAACAAGGUUCGCUUACUAAUCUGUAAUCAGAAGGAGAUGAGUUGAAUUGAAGAAGAGUUUGGAAUAGAGUGGAACCAAAAUUAGAUUCCUAUUGAAACUCUUUACUAAUAUUUUUAGGAAUUGAAGUAAGAAUAGUAUUGAACUGUGUAAGUUGUUUACUAAUUUACAUGAACCUGAAUGAAAAUCAAUGUGAUUAUUGAAAUGCUCUCUAAACUUUAAUUUUCGACUACGAUGAUGUACUUCUAGAGUCCGAGCACUUGCACCCCCAAGCUUACAACGAGGCCUUUACUUACUUCAGUGUCCGUUGCCAUUUUCCUCUGCCUCCCAGCCCCUCAAUUGGGACCUCCACUUCUACGAUCAGCUCCAUAACCAAAUCGUUGGUGGAAAGCCCAAAAUGUGAUGGUCCUUACUAUUCUCCAAAGGUUGAACUUUGGAUUUUGUUUUCUACCUUGACUUUUUUUUUGCUUGCUAAAUUACACUUUACCACCUCAGGUUUGAGGUCUAUUGCAACAUCAUAAAACAUCUUUAAAACAUUUCACUUUCAUACCUCAAGUAAUAUUUUAUUUUAAUAUAAUACAUCCUGUUUGUACCAUACUUAGGGCCUCCGUAUUUAGAUCUCGUAUAAAUACUCGGAGGACUCAAAUGUAAUUAUGUAAUAAAGGAAUGGGCAAAUAUGUAAUAAGUGAUGAGCCCUUAUUCUAUAAAAGGACCAUUCACUCUCCUCAUUAAGGGAGGCCAAUUCUUAGGCCUGAGAUCCCCAAAGUCUCUCACCUUCUCAAAGCCUCUCAUAUUCAUUACAGAGGCUCUCUCCCUUAUAAUCCUCUCAGAGAAAUACAAUAUCAGUGUGGACGUAGCCCAAACAUUGGGGUGAACCACGAUACAUCUUGUGUUCUUUACAUUUCUUGCAGAUUCACGGUCGGAUUUACCUUGUUCCAAGACCUCCGGUUUUGUGCAUCAACAUUUAGCGCCGUCUGUGGGAAACGACAAAAAAAAAAAAACUAUAUCGGUUCUCUUUCAUUUUUUUCACCUCCGCCGUGAAUCUACACAACCCUUUCCAGAAAAACAUUCACUAAACUCCAAAACUCAACCACAGUUUCUUCUUUCGUUGCUCUCUCUCAAAUCUUAUUUAUUUUCUGCUGUUGUUCUACGGAUUUUUACUACUUCCACUUGAAUCUGUCUUCUUCUUCUUCAUUGCUUUCUGUUUUAACGAGUAAUUACACCAACAACAAAAGUUGAUCAGACGGUGGAGCUGGUCAGCACAAGGUCUCUUUCUCCCAGGACCUCUACCCUAUCGGAAUCGUUCAACAGAACCUGGCAGAGCAGGAAACACUCUAACCCUGACGAAACGUCGUAUAGAGGAGCCUCAAACGCGACAUGUCGUUCCUCUCCAGGAGGCGAUAUGUGCGAGCAUUUCUCGUGGGAAGUUAGUAUUCAGAGCCACUAACAACAACCCGAGCUCGAACUCGAUGGUUCCCACAUUCGCGAACCUGAUCUGGGUCGAGAUGGCGGUGCUUGCUAACCUUUCGAUGCAAAUCACCAGAAGAAUGCCGGAGCUCUUCAGUAUUCGGCUCGGCAACGUCAUGGUCACCGGAUCUGACCCGGCCGAUGCGAAGAGGAAAAGAAGUGGGACCUAGUGACGAAGCUCGGCAGCCUUAUGAAGGAGGGCAAGAUCCACAGCCUGGAGCGGAUCUAUCUCCACUCCCUCCCCAUCAAGAAGCACCAGAUCUUCGACACUCUCGUCACCCCCUGUAGUUUGAAGGAUGAGGUCAUGAACGAAGCAGCUUGCCGAAGUUUGCAGAUUCAGGAACGAAGACGGCCACUCCUUCCUCCACGUCGCCGUCUUCUCAGGCCGCUUCGAGGUGGCGAAGUUGUUGAUUGCUCGCCGAAGCUUUCUUUCUCUCUGCAUCUCACUUUUAGAUCUCCAUUUUCUGAUGGGAAAAAGGGCGAGUCAGACGGGCCGGGUCAGGGUCAAAUACGCACGGCGGGCUUGCUUUGGGGAUUGCAGAGUUAUCUAUAUUGGCAGGAGUUACAGUCCUGGACGUACUGGACGUACUGACAGUUCAUAAUGAGGGGAAAGAGUUAUAGUCCAUCACCACCACCGAGGGGAAGAUAUGGUAGGAGGCGACAACGAAGUCCUAGCCCUAGGGGUCGCUAUAGCGGUGGUCGCGGUAGCAGUAGAGAUCUUCCUACAAGUCUUCUAGUUCGCAACCUUCGCCAUGAUUGCAGGCCAGAAGAUCUCCGCAGGCCAUUUGGGCAGUUUGGUGUGCAUAAAGACAUCUACCUACCAAAGGAUUAUUAUACUGGAGCUUUUAAGCUAACUUGAAGCGGCGGAGUGGCACUUUAGGGCAGUGGAGGAUGAGGAUUUUUAGCCACAUUGGCGGAAACAGAGAGACCGACAGUGGAAUAAAGUGGGGUUUCUGAAAUUUUAGGCAAUGGCAUCGGUCUUGCUGGAAAGGGGUGCACAGAGAGAUGAUAGCAGCGCACAGACAUACAGAAAGAGAAAAGAAAAGAAAAAGCAAAGCGCACAGAAGAGAGAGAGACGCAGUGGAAAGCAAAAAGGAAAAUAGCAGAGCAGAAAAAGAAAAAGGGAAGAAAAGGAAUACAUAAAGGAAAAGCCAAGAUUAUACCUUUGCUUUUGUCGACCACCAAAGCAGAAGAUGCCAUCAACUCUUGAAAAAGAAAACUUUUAUCAUGCAUGUUCCCACUUUUCUAAAGAAGCCAUUGGAAGACGCACAUGGAAAAAAGAUCUGCAACAACCCAGUAUGCACCAACGGCUGCUUUAUUUACUUUUGAAUGAUGUAAUUUAUUUUUCUUAUCUUUCGGAGACAUCUGUAUAAACCUCAUCAGAAGGUAUAUAUAUAUAAAAACGGCAAGCCCAAAAUAAUGGGCUGGAAUGUUAUGGGGAGGGCGAAGGCCCAUAUGCCCAAAAAAGCCAGACCCUCUAUUAUCACCAACCAGGUGAUCAAAAGUACGUCCAGUACUACAAAAAAUUAUUCGGCAACUUGCCUCUAUUACCACUAACCAAGUGAUCAAAAGUACGUCCAGUACUCCAAAAUUAUUCGGCACCCUGUUGCUAUUAUCACCAACCAAGUGAUCAAAAGUAUGCCCAGUACUCCAAAAUUAUUCGGCACCCUGCCGCUAUUAUCACCAACCAGGUGAUCAAAAGUACACCCAAUACUUCACAAUUAUUUGACACCCUUCUGCUAUUAUCACUAACCAGGUGAUCAAAAGUACGCCCAGUACUCCCAAAAUUAUUCGGCAGCCUGCCGCUAUUAUCACCCACUAGGUGAUCAAAAGUACGUCCAGUACUCCAAAAUCAUACAUGACCAUCACUCAUGUCAAUCAUACAUAAACAUUCAUGACCAUCACUCAUGUCAAUCAUACAUAAACAUUUAUAACCAUCAUUCAUGUCAACAUUCAUGAGCAUCGCUCAUGUCAACAUUCAUGAGCAUCACUCAUGUCAACAUCCAUGAGCAUCACUCAUGUCAAUCAACAUAAACAUUCAUGAGCAUCACUCAUGUCAAUCAGCUUCGAAAACUUCAUUUACAGAGCUCCAGCUUCGAGAGCUCCAGCUUUAAAAGCUUCAUUUACAAAAGCUCCAGCUUCAAAGCUUCACUUGCAAAGCUUCACCUACAAAGCUUCAGUACAGGGUAUACAAAUACCGCCUCCAAACAACCGCCACUUCGGCCCAUACAUGGAUUCAAUUUGAAGUCUCUAGCCAACAGACUCUAUUGACCGAAGACUUGGGGGACUACAUUAUGUACCAUAUAUUGGGCCUCAACUGGGCCUCAUGAAAGAUACUUAGGGGACUUAGCCCAUUAUUUAUGUAUUGAGGAGCGAGCCUUUAUUCUAUAAAAGGGACUCCCUCACUUUCAUUAGAAAGCACCCAUUAUUCAUGUACUGAGGAUCGAGCCCUUAUUUUAUAAAAGGGACUCCCUCACCUUCAUUAGAGAGCAUUGCCGCCUGCUGAGCAACCGCCUCGCCGCGAGCAUCAGUCCUAACCCAUCACUUAUGUAUUGAGGAGCGAACCUUUAUUCUAUAAAAGGGACUCCCUCACCUUCAACGCCACAAGCCGAGCUAACCAAGGCAACAUAAGCCACAAGCCGAGCAGCCUCGCAACAUGUGCUACUUAUAGUUGAGCAUCAUUUCACUUUGAGCACCGCCUCAUAUCAAGUCUCAGUUCAAGACGACAUCUAGUUACUUCAGCCCACACAUGGACUGAAUUUCAAGUCUCCAGCUAAAAGACUCUCUUGACUGAAGACUUGGAGGACUAUUGUUUGUAACAUACUUAGGGCCUCCGUAUUUAGAUCUCGUAUAAAUACUCGGGGGACUCAAAUGUAAUUAUGUAAUAAAGAAAGGGGAAAAUAUGUAAUAAGUGAAGAGCCUUUAUUUUAUAAAAGGACCCCUCACUGUCCUCAUUAAGGGAGGCUAAUUCUUAGGCCUGAGAUUCCCAAAGCCUCUCACCCUCUCAAAGCCUCUCAUAUUCAUUACAGAAGCUAUCUCCCUCAUAAUCCUCUCAGAGAAAUACAAUAUCAGUGUGGACGUAGCCCAAACAUUGGGGUGAAUAUGUAAUAAGUGAUGAGCCCUUAUUCUAUAAAAGGACCCUUCACUCUCCUCAUUAAGGGAGGCCAAUUCUUAGGCCUGAGAUCCCCAAAGUCUCUCACCUUCUCAAAGCCUCUCAUAUUCAUUACAGAGGCUCUCUCCCUUAUAAUCCUCUAAGAGAAAUACAAUAUCAGUGUGGACGUAACCCAAACAUUGGGGUGAACCACGAUACAUCUUGUGUUCUUUACAUUUUCUGCAGAUUCACGGUCGGAUUUACGUUGUUCCAAGACCUUCAGUUUUGUGCAUCAACACAUCCGUUACAUUUUUCAUUUAUUGGUUCGUUAAGAGCUGAUAUGGCUGCCACAUUUGCAUCACGUGGCAAAAAAAAUAAUUUUUUAUGCAUUUAUAAUAUUAUAAUAAUUUACCCUAUUAAAAAAAAACCCAAAAAUCUUCCCCAACCCCUGCAACCCAAACCCCCAUCACACCCACCCCCACCUCACCUGCAACCCCCCCAGCCCGACUCUGCCCCGUCCUAAAUCGCAAUCCCUAAUCCCCAGCCCCAGCAAUCUAAACCCACCCCAUUUUCUAGAACCCCUUCCCCCCAUACCAAAAAACCAUCGUCCUGGUCCUCGUCCUUAUCCAAACCUUCGCCCACCCGAUCUAAAAAACCCCAACCCGCUUCCUCAGAUCCUAUUCUCACCGAUGCCUCCUUAGAUAACUUGGAUCUCAGCUCGUUUCUGCUUAAGUUGGCCUGGGACACAAUCACCUCCGGUGAAGGUCCAAACAAGGCGUUGGAGUACACAGUCUGGGCGUCUAAGUAUUUCGAGUGGUGCGCGAUGGACAGCGAGCCAAGCCUGGAUGACACACCCCAACCCGGAAUGUCCACUUGGACUCCGAAUCGAACUGUGCUGGCCAACACCUGGAAGGUGACGAAGCCAUAAAGUGUAGUGUGGUGGAAUAUGUGAAUAAAUUUAAACCUAAAAGUACCUAAAUAUAAGAGUGCACUUGUGAGCAGGAAUGAACCCAUUUCACACAUGAUAACAGAGAAUAAGUAGAGUACAAUAAAGUAUGAUGACAUUUAUAUCAUCAAAGGUAUCCACCUACAUUGAGAGUUGCCAAGAAUCUUUGUCGAUAAGAAAGCUUAGCUAUUAAAACCUGGAAGGGCAAAAAACAAGGAUGAGUGGGCCUGAAAAUAAAGUUUUAAUAACCUUUGAAAACGUUAUAACCCCUCGCCAUAAAACAUGUAUAGUUUCCAAGAUAUACAUACUACAUAUAGUAUGGAAAUACUCACCGUAGCCUGCAACAUAUCAAGAUAUCAAUACGACACCAUAGUUCAUAAUAAAAUCAGAUGCUCAUCGAUCUAUGCUAGCACACAAGUCGGAGUCGUCUAAUGCAACCUGUAUGACUGAAUUGAUGCUCAUCAAUCUAUGCUAGCAUACAAGUCGGAGUUACAUAAUGCAACCUGUACGACAAGACUGGGUGUAAUCAUAAUAUAUGCUCUAGUGCUACAAUCACGUGAAGACUGGCGCUAUUUGUGGUCACAUACGAGUCUGAGUUGCCUAUUGCAACCUGUACGACAAGAUGUCGGAGUUGCCUAUUGCAACCUGUACGACAUGACUAGCACCUACUUGGAUCCAAGGCGAGCAUGUGGUGCGAAUAUGAACAUACACGUGAAAGACUAGACCUGGCCAUGGGCGAGCACUAACACCAGGGUGCAGCAAUGAUGAGCAGACUACAUAAAUACAAUCAUGCCAUAGUAGUUCGAUAGUUCUAAUCAACAUAAUAUCAUUCAUAGCCGUAGGUGUAAUCAUGGCAUCAAUAAACAUACGCAUACCUGUGCAUCCCGUAGGAUUUAUGAUCACUUCGUAAUUUUCCGUUAUCUCGCUAAUUCUUAUAAGCAUUAGUCUAAACUAGGCAUACGUAGUAAAUUCUCUUUCAAUGUAUAAAUGGAAACUAACAAAUAUGUACAUACUAUAUAAAAGAAAAGACCCAUUCACCUGAAGUCCGCGCUACAACUUCCUAGCAUGAAUAUCGAGGCAUCACGAACAAUUGUCUCCUAGAACAAGUAUCAAAUCACGUCUCAGAAUUCUUAUCGAUAAAACACGUAUCUUACAUAAAACACAUCCCUAAGGAAAUUCUAGAAUGAUUUGUAACCCAUUGACAAAAAGUCAACCGUCAGUCAAAGGUCGACGAUAGGGUCCACAACCUUACGUAACUCGAUCCGGAAGAUCUACACCUUGGAUUUCCGAUCCGUAACCUCCCAAGACUUUUAAUAAGCUUCUAGAACAACAUCCUAAAGUUUCGGAACGAUCCAACAGUUAGAUCUCCGACAAUCGCAAAUUUAAGUGGUGGUCAACGUUGGAUUUUACAAACUUUAGAAAUUCAAUUCGGGAAGAUCCGUAAGUUGGAUUCCCGAUCUGUGAGUUCCUAAUGUCCACAAAUAUUACGUACUAUCACAUAUUAGACCAAGUGGUGGUCUCAAUUAAAACUAUAUUCAUACGACAAGAUUUCGUCAAUCAGACGUCACAUAUGGAAUCAGGGUAUCCAAAUCAGUUUAGGAAGGGCAGGUGGGGUCUCAGCCCACUCGCAGCUGCCCCAACUCGUAGGAAAAUUCAACCAUUUCCAAAACUUACCAAAUUUUAUAGAUGUAUAGAUCUCAAUGAGUGGAGAAAUUUUCAUACCUGGGCCAGAGUCUAAUUCGGCUGAGAAACACCUGAAAACUACCUCGAUUUGCCAGAACCCUUGAAUUUGGGUGUUCUUGAUCCGACACCAAAACAGCUCCGACUCCUUAACCCACCCAUGGGCUUUGUUCUUAGACUCAAGGGACACCUGAGGAUGGUGAUGGUUGACGGAAAACCUUUCAGAAAUGGGAAGAUCGCAGCCGUGCACCCUUCGGACUCUCGGUUCGAAUUCCACAAAUUAGAGCCAAAUUGGCUCAGGUUUUUGUAUGAGAAGAGUAGAGGGAAGGAUCCUAGGAUGAUUCCAAGUGAUGAAAGGCCUUAAUUUGCUAGAGAACCACCGGAAAACUCGUUGGAAUCGAUGGCGCUGCUGGGUUAGGUCGAAAUGGAAAAACGGGUAAAGGAAUUCGGUGUCCCUCCUCUUCCCUCCUUUCCUCUUCUCCCAUUUUUCACCUCAUUCCUCUCUCCUCUCCCGAUUCGGCCAUCUCCUCACCUCUUUCUCUGGUGGUCCAUCCUCAUUCUCUUCUCUCUUCCUGCUAUCUAGCUGUUUCUAUCUCAUUUCUUUUUUUAUUUUUUAUUUUUUAUUUAUAAUCAAUCCCAACCAUCCAAAUUUUUCCUUUCUCCAUCACAACCCUCCACUUGGCGCUUCCAGAUUAUGGUUAAAUGACCAUUUCGCCCAUAACUUCGUUUGUUAAUAACUCAUUCGUUAUAGCUCCAAAUUAAGUUCUACUUGCGCCCACACGUUCGUAGCGACGAAUACUACGAGGAUACGACAAGAAAAUGGAUCUUACGUGACACGACAAGGCGGUCAACAAAAAUCAAAGCCUUUGCCUCAAGGGCAUUUUUGUAAUUUCACUCAUCAAAAUUUAUAAAAAUAUAAAAUUAGGGACGGGUUGUCACACUGGACCUGGCCAUGAGCUUGGACGGUGAUGCGAGGCGAGCUUGGACGGUGCACAAUGGAUGGAGACUAAACCCGACAUCCUCAUUGAAGAAGAAGAGAGUGGAGGAGAGGGGAAAUGUGGGAUGGGGGGUUGCGGGGGAGGUGGGGGUGGGGUGGGGCGGAGGAGAGAGAGUGGGUCGGGGGGCGGGGGAAUGGUUUCUGGGUUUGAUUGGUUUUUUUUUUUUGCCACGUAGCACAAAUUUGGCAGUCACGUCAGCUCUUAACGGACCAAUGGAUGAAAAAUGUAACAGAUGUAUUAUAUUGAAAUAAAAUAGUACUUGAGGUAUGAAAGUGAAAUGUUUUAAAGAUGUUGUAAGAAUUGAAAUCGACCUCAAACAUGAAGGGGUAAAAGGAAAUUUACCCUUUUUUUUUAUCAGAACUUCUUUGACUGAAUUGGGGGUUGGGGUUUGUUUAAGGUACUUUAAGGAGUAUACUUGAAUUUAUUCAAUUCUACUUCAAAUCUCCUUAUUUUAACCGAAUUUUUGGAUUUUCUCAUAAAAUUUUAUUUUAAGAGUAUAUUAGUACUUUCAUAUUAACUUUUGGCUAUAAUUAUCAUAAAUUUAAAAUGAUAGCUAGAAUUCUAUUUUAAGAUCCAAAAUUUAGUUAGUUUCCAAAUUUUCCUUCUUUUUCUUUUAAUGCAACUACACCCAUCCUAGACCAACCAUAAGCGGCCAAUAUUUAUCCAAACCAGGCACUAUCUUCAAAUUGCUCAACUCAACCUAGUGGUGAUCGGUAAUUGCCUAUACAAAAAACUAUACAAAAAGUUUCUUUCUUCUCUCGAUUCCAUCCUUUUGUUUUUUUCUUCUUUCCUCAAACUCUUAAUGAAACUAAAUUUAGGAGAAUAAAUAAUAAUAAAAUAAAAGACAAAAGCACUCAUGAUAGCAAACAGAUCCUACUAUGACGAUUUUUUUUCUUCUUAAUCUCUCUUCUCCAAGGCAUCGAAACCGCAUACUUUUUCUUUUAUUUUUUUCUUCAUGGCAGCGGCAAUUUAUUUUUUUCUAACAAUUGUAGAAAAUUUUUACUUUCAGAUUCAUGGCUUGUGGGUGCACAAAGAAAAUUAGUUUCGUGCACUCACAUGGAAACCUUAAUAGCAGAAUUCAACUAAGAAUCAAACUCUGCUUGAUACCAAAUUGAAAAUGAAAGGUUUUUGAUAAAUUUAGAAUUCUCUACAAUCUCACAUUUCUCAAAUACAACUUCAAUAAUUUAUUCUGCUCCGUAACGAGGUAUUUAUAUGAAUACAACGCAACAAUAAUAGAAAAUAAAUUAAAUCAAACCUGUGUUCACAAAAUAAUGAAACGUAGACCAAAUCAAAUCUCUAAAAAGCUUUCAUUUAUAUUUUUCAACAGUGCAUAAUUUCUACGUAGUUAAAAGAGCCUUUGAUUGUUGGAAAGUUUUUUUAUUUUUUUUAAUUUUUUUUAAACACAACUUCAGACAUUUGCUGACACACUCUAAUACAAGUUCCACAUAAAGCGGUAAUUCCUAUCACAAAGAGAUGUAAGUAAACGUAUUAAUUUUGUAUGCACAAAUAAAACUUUUAGUAAUUACUUGUAAGAAAGCUAACAAGUGUUAUUAUCCCUUCCUUAUCAAAAUGUCGCUCCAUUAUUAAUGUCGAUCAAUUGGCGGAGUGGAUCAAAUAUCGAAACUAAUGAGCAAAUCUGGCAGCAAGAAGAAUGCCUUGCAUAUUUGGGCUCAUCACUUUGUUGUGACAUAUGGGCUCAUCUGGCCAAAUUCUAUCGUUUAUUAUGUUUGAAGUUUUUUGAGACAUUUUUUUCGACAUUUGGUAUAACGUAAUUCUUUUCCUAUUUGAAAUUCUAAAGAGUAUAGGGCUAAGAAACAUUGUAUAAAUUAUCUUUACAUUAUGUUUGGAUGAAGAAAAUAAACUUGGAAUUUGGAUAAAAGUCAGAUUUGGAUUCAUAAACAUAGAAAUUUAGAAUUUCCGCAUGAAAAAAAAAAAACUUGGAAUUUGGGACCUCCAAUUCCUAAGUUUAAAUUUCACGUAAAUAUGUGUCAUUUACCAAUUUCUAUGAUUGAGAGUUUGAAAAUAACAAAUUCCGUAUUCAAUUCCAUUGUUCUUUUAAGUUAACCAAAUAAGAAAAUUCACAAAUUCUAGAAAAUAAAAUCCCGUUAUUUCAAUUUCCAUCAUUUUAAAAUUCCUUAGUAAUUUUAAAUUUCAUCAUCCAAACAUAGUAUUAGAGUGCUACACUUUGUUAUCUUUUGCACCUUUAACUAGUAAACUUUCACGUUCACUCACUCUCUGCUGGAUUUCCAAUUACUUGGUUUUUAAUUAAUGUUAUUGUUUAAUAUAGUUUUUUUUUGUCAUGCUACGUCAAUUACUCUUACCAAAACAUUGGGUUCCAAGAUUAGCUAAUAGAGCGGUGGAUUUUGUGGCGUUGCAUGCUGGAGCGGAGAUGUGCGGUUUUGUUUGGGUCCAUCGACCUCCAUCUUCGUUUGUCCGUGUACUGAAUAAGGAUGAUCUCCCUUGCCCUCCUUGUUUUAGUUUUUCUCAUUGUUGUUUCGUGUUGACCCGUGGUGGCUUUCUGUACUUCUCUGGCUUCGGCCCUGGUUAUGCUAUUAUCCAGUUCUCCAAAAAAACAAAAAAACAUUGCUCCAACCUGCCUUUUCUUUCCUUUUGUAUUGGAAUAUGAUUUUGACACUCAUUUUUUUUCUCCACGUGCUUCUAGCGUUUGAAUUGAUUAAAUAAAAGAUAAUUAAUGGACCGAAAUAAACAGGAUGUGCAGAAGGAGGAUGGAGAAAAAUGAUUUUUCUCUUUUCUUUCAACUGACUUCAUAACAGUUUCUUGUAACAAAUGCAUUUUGGUCUACUUCAGUCUGGUAAGUUAUGGUAGGAAGAUAUAUAUAUAAUCCCACUUUUCCUUUUUCCAUAUUUUUUUUUCCUCUUUUUGCCUUUUCCUUUUCCACCUACCUCUUCGGUUAAUAUCAUAAUCUAGUUUAUCAUAAACACUUCGAACAAAGAUCAUACAUGGUAAGAUUAAUUCAAUAAAUGUUUUAUUAAAGUAUAAUCAAGAAAAUACAAUCACAAACACAACAAUAUACAUAUCCAGAACAUAUAAAACAGAAAAACUAAAAAGAAAAAGAAAAAGAAAAAGGGAAUCAUGAAAAUUAAACAUCCGCACAAGCUCUCCAAAACAAUAACAUAGAGUAAUUAAUAAGCCAUCGUACAGCACAUCCAAGAAAUCAGAUAGUAGUAGUGUAGUAAGCAAGGAGAACCAUGGCGGUUAUAUAUGUGAUCAUCUCCGGUGGUUUAGUUUGAUGGGGGUGGGGAGAGGAAUGGAAUGCUUGGAAUAGUUGAUGGAAUAGUUGGGAUUGAAGGGAUUGUUGUGGGAAAUGAUGGCAGUGGGUUGGCUGGCAGUGGAGGUAGUGUUGUGGGAAGAGUGGGCAUUGCUGAUUUUGGCAAAGAUGGAAUUUGAGAGCUUGGCAUUGGAGGAAGAGCAGUUGGACGAGUAGGCAAUGGGUUAGAGGGCAGGGGUGGCAAGGUGGCCUUGGGCAGUGUUGGCAAUGAAGGCAACGGAGGCAAUGUGGUCUUGGGCUGUGUUGGCAAUGAAGGCAACGGAGGCAAUGUCGUCUUGGGAAGAGUUGGCACCGAAGGCAACGGCGGCAAUGUGGUCUUCG
rnacentral:lncRNA from 1 species